GACGAACGCUGGCGGCGUGCUUAACACAUGCAAGUCGAACGGAAGGGCCCUGCUUUUGUGGGGUGCUCGAGUGGCGAACGGGGGAGUAACACGUGAGUAACCUGCCCUUGACUUUGGGAUAACUUCAGGAAACUGGGGCUAAUACCGGAGAGGAGCUCCUGCUGCAUGGGGGGGGUUGGAAAGUUUCGGCGGUUGGGGAUGGACUCGCGGCUUAUCAGCCUGUUGGUGGGGUAGUGGCUUACCAAGGCUUUGACGGGUAGCCGGCCUGAGAGGGUGACCGGCCACAUGGGGACUGAGAUACGGCCCAGACUCCUACGGGAGGCAGCAGUGGGGAAUAUUGCACAAUGGGCGGAAGCCUGAUGCAGCAACGCCGCGUGCGGGAUGACGGCCUUCGGGUUGUAAACCGCUUUCGCCUGUGACGAAGCGUGAGUGACGGUAAUGGGUAAAGAAGCACCGGCUAACUACGUG
rnacentral:rRNA from 1 species